UCGAGCGGUAACACAGAGAGCUUGCUCUCGGGUGACGAGCGGCGGACGGGUGAGUAAUGUCUGGGAAACUGCCUGAUGGAGGGGGAUAACUACUGGAAACGGUAGCUAAUACCGCAUAACGUCGCAAGACCAAAGAGGGGGACCUUCGGGCCUCUUGCCAUCAGAUGUGCCCAGAUGGGAUUAGCUAGUAGGUGGGGUAACGGCUCACCUAGGCGACGAUCCCUAGCUGGUCUGAGAGGAUGACCAGCCACACUGGAACUGAGACACGGUCCAGACUCCUACGGGAGGCAGCAGUGGGGAAUAUUGCACAAUGGGCGCAAGCCUGAUGCAGCCAUGCCGCGUGUAUGAAGAAGGCCUUCGGGUUGUAAAGUACUUUCAGCGGGGAGGAAGGUGUUGAGGUUAAUAACCUCAGCAAUUGACGUUACCCGCAAAAGAAGCACCGGCUAACUCCGUGCCAGCAGCCGCGGUAAUACGGAGGGUGCAAGCGUUAAUCGGAAUUACUGGGCGUAAAGCGCACGCAGGCGGUCUGUCAAGUCGGAUGUGAAAUCCCCGGGCUCAACCUGGGAACUGCAUUCGAAACUGGCAGGCUAGAGUCUUGUAGAGGGGGGUAGAAUUCCAGGUGUAGCGGUGAAAUGCGUAGAGAUCUGGAGGAAUACCGGUGGCGAAAGCGGCCCCCUGGACAAGACUGACGCUCAGGUGCGAAAGCGUGGGGAGCAACAGGAUUAGAUACCCUGGUAGUCCACGCCGUAUACGAUGUCGACUUGUAGGUUGUGCCCUUGAGGCGUGGCUUCCGGAGCUAACGCGUUAAGUCGACCGCCUGGGGAGUACGGCCGCAAGGUUAAAACUCAAAUGAAUUGACGGGGGCCCGCACAAGCGGUGGAGCAUGUGGUUUAAUUCGAUGCAACGCGAAGAACCUUACCUACUCUUGACAUCCAGAGAACUUAGCAGAGAUGCUUUGGUGCCUUCGGGAACUCUGAGACAGGUGCUGCAUGGCUGUCGUCAGCUCGUGUUGUGAAAUGUUGGGUUAAGUCCCGCAACGAGCGCAACCCUUAUCCUUUGUUGCCAGCGGUCCGGCCGGGAACUCAAAGGAGACUGCCAGUGAUAAACUGGAGGAAGGUGGGGAUGACGUCAAGUCAUCAUGGCCCUUACGAGUAGGGCUACACACGUGCUACAAUGGCGCAUACAAAGAGAAGCGACCUCGCGAGAGCAAGCGGACCUCAUAAAGUGCGUCGUAGUCCGGAUUGGAGUCUGCAACUCGACUCCAUGAAGUCGGAAUCGCUAGUAAUCGUAGAUCAGAAUGCUACGGUGAAUACGUUCCCGGGCCUUGUACACACCGCCCGUCACACCAUGGGAGUGGGUUGCAAAAGAAGUAGGUAGCUUAACCUUCGGGAGGG
rnacentral:rRNA from 1 species